rnacentral:rRNA from 1 species
AGAGUUUGAUCAUGGCUCAGGAUGAACGCUAGCUACAGGCUUAACACAUGCAAGUCGAGGGGAAACGAUAUUGGAAGCUUGCUUCCGAUAGGCGUCGACCGGCGCACGGGUGAGUAACGCGUAUCCAACCUGCCCACCACUUGGGGAUAACCUUGCGAAAGUAAGACUAAUACCCAAUGAUAUCUCUAGAAGACAUCUGAAAGAGAUUAAAGAUUUAUCGGUGAUGGAGGGGGAUGCGUCUGAUUAGCUUGUUGGCGGGGUAACGGCCACCAAAGGCGACGAUCAGUAGGGGUUCUGAGAGGAAGGUCCCCCANAUUGGAACUGAGACACGGUCCAAACUCCUACGGGAGGCA